rnacentral:rRNA from 1 species
GAUGAACGCUGGCGGCGUGCCUAAUACAUGCAAGUCGAGCGAAUGAUGAGGAGCUUGCUCCUCUGAUUUAGCGGCGGACGGGUGAGUAACACGUGGGUAAUCUGCCUGUAAGACGGGGAUAACUCCGGGAAACCGGGGCUAAUACCGGAUAAUAAGAAGAAACGCAUGUUUCUUUUUUGAAAGUCGGUUUCGGCUGACACUUACAGAUGAGCCCGCGGCGCAUUAGCUAGUUGGUGAGGUAACGGCUCACCAAGGCGACGAUGCGUAGCCGACCUGAGAGGGUGAUCGGCCACACGGGGACUGAGACACGGCCGAGACUCCUACGGGAGGCAGCAGUAGGGAAUCUUCGGCAAGGGGCGAAAGCCUGACCGAGCAACGCCGCGUGAGCGAUGAAGGCCUUCGGGUCGUAAAGCUCUGUUGUUAGAGAAGAACAAGUACGAGAGUAACUGCUCGUACCUUGACGGUACCUAACCAGAAAGCCACGGCUAACUACGUGCCAGCCGCCGCCGUAAUAC